GCAAGUAUGAACGCUGCUAUUUUCCGUUUCUUUUUUUACUUUAGCGCCUGAACAUCGGGGGCUUUGCGCGUAAGAACAGAAACGAAAAGUAGCGCCUAAGCCUCCUCUGUGGAGGCUUUUUUAUU
rfam:Dickeya dadantii 3937, complete genome.